rnacentral:rRNA from 1 species
AGCGAACGCUGGCGGCAGGCCUAACACAUGCAAGUCGAACGAACCUUUCGGGGUUAGUGGCGGACGGGUGAGUAACACGUGGGAACGUGCCUUUAGGUUCGGAAUAACUCAGGGAAACUUGUGCUAAUAACGAAUGUGCCCUUCGGGGGAAAGAUUUAUCGCCUUUAGAGCGGCCCGCGACUGAUUAGCUAGUUGGUUGAGGUAAUGGCUCACCAAGGCGACGAUCAGUAGCUGGUCUGAGAGCAUGAUCAGCCACAUUGGGACUGAGACAGGGCCCAAACUCCUACGGGAGGCAGCAGUGGGGAAUCUUACGCAAUGGGCGAAAGUCUGACACAGCCAUGCCGCGUGAAUGAUGAAGGUCUUAGGAUUGUAAAAUUCUUUCACCGGGGACGAUAAUGACGGUACCCGGAGAAGAAGCCCCGGCUAACUUCGUG